rnacentral:rRNA from 1 species
UACGUAGGCAGCGAGCGUUGUUCGGAGUUACUGGGCGUAAAGGGUGUGUAGGCGGUUGUCUAAGUUUGGUGUGAAAUCUCCCGGCUCAACUGGGAGGGUGCGCCGAAUACUGAAUGACUUCGAGUGCGGGAGAGGAGAGUGGAAUUCCUGGUGUAGCGGUGAAAUGCGUAGAUAUCAGGAGGAACACCGGUGGUGUAGACGGCUCUCUGGACCGUAACUGACGCUGAGACACGAAAGCGUGGGUAGCAAACAGG